AUUGAACGCUGGCGGCAGGCCUAACACAUGCAAGUCGAACGAGUGGCGGACGGGUGAGUAAUGUCUGGGAAACUGCCCGAUGGAGGGGGAUAACUACUGGAAACGGUAGCUAAUACCGCAUACCAUCGGAUGUGCCCAGAUGGGAUGAGUUUGUAGGUGAGGUAACGGCUCACCUAGGCGACGAUCCAUAGCUGGUCUGAGAGGAUGACCAGCCACCCUGGAACGGAGACACGGUCCAGACUCAUACGUGACGCAGCAGUGGGGAAUAUUGAAAAAUGGGCGCAAGCAUGAUGCAGCCAUGCCGCGUGUAGGAAGAAGGCCUUCGGGUUGUAAAGUACUUUCAGCGGGGAGGCGUUACCCGCAGAAGAAGCACCGGCUAACGCCGUGCCAGCAGCCGCGGUAAUAC
rnacentral:rRNA from 1 species